CUUGGGUACGGAAUAACUCAGAGAAAUUUGUGCUAAUACCGUAUAAUGUCUUCGGACCAAAGAUUUAUCGCCCAAGGGUGAGCCCGCGUAGGAUUAGCUAGUUGGUGAGGUAAAAGCUCACCAAGGCGACGAUCCUUAGCUGGUCUGAGAGGAUGAUCAGCCACACUGGGACUGAAACACGGCCCAGACUCCUACGGGAGGCAGCAGUGGGGAAUAUUGGACAAUGGGCGAAAGCCUGAUCCAGCAAUGCCGCGUGAGUGAUGAAGGCCCUAGGGUUGUAAAGCUCUUUUACCCGGGAUGAUAAUGACAGUACCGGGAGAAUAAGCUCCGGCUAACUUCGUGCCAGCAGCCGCGGUAAUACGAGGGGAGCUAGCGUUGUUCGGGAUUACUGGGCGUAAAGCGCGCGUAGGCGGUUUUUUAAGUCAGAGGUGA
rnacentral:rRNA from 1 species